GACCUUGAGCUUUGUAGCAGAGAAUGACCUUGAAUGGAAGAAUUCCUGCUUCCAUUUCUCAAGUACUGGAUUUCAGAUAGGCCACUCAUCAGGACCAUACACACCCCAGGAGGACACCUGUGUCCACCUUCUCAGCAUUGGAAUGGCAAAUACAUGCUACCAACACCUUGCCUUUAUAUGGGUGCCAAGUAUUGAACUCAUGGUUUUAUGCUGUUGUUUUGGCUUUAUUUUGGUUUUGGGGUUUUUCAAGACAGGGUUUCUCUGUGUAGCCCUCAAUGUCCCGGAACUUGCUCUGUAUACCAGGCUGUCCUUAGACUCAGAGAUCUGCCUACUUCUGCCUUCCAAGGUUCCCAUGUUUUUAUGAAAUACACUUUACCAACAGUG
rnacentral:lncRNA from 1 species